GGGAGCGCAGUGCGAUGAAAGUCGCACGCUGCGAUCUAAUUGAGAGGUGCGAGGGAUUAUACCCUCCAUCGACUCAAC
rnacentral:ncRNA from 1 species